rnacentral:lncRNA from 1 species
UAUACCCAUGGGGAGAAUGUUCACUGGGUGUCUGAAGCCUGGCAGCAGGUGGAACUGCAGCCAGAUGGUGGCCCAGCCAGGAGAGUGAGCCAAGGCCUAUGCAGUGCAUGGAGAAGAACCCUAGCCCCUGCUGCACAGAUUUGUGCCCAUUGGCCUGGAUGGAGUGGUGGGUGCAGCAGUUCCUGGCUAGAAUCAUCAAAUGGUCAUAG